ACUCCUACGGGAGGCAGCAGUGGGGAAUAUUGGACAAUGGGCGAAAGCCUGAUCCAGCAAUACCGCGUGUGUGAAGAAGGCCUUCGGGUUGUAAAGCACUUUAAGUUGGGAAGAAAAGCUUCACCUAAUACGUGAAGCCUUGACGGUACCGACAGAAUAAGCACCGGCUAACUCUGUGCCAGCAGCCGCGGUAAUACAGAGGGUGCUAGCGUUAAUCGGAUUUACUGGGCGUAAAGCGUGCGUAGGUGGUUUGAUAAGUCGAUUGUGAAAGCCCCGGGCUUAACCUGGGAAUUGCGGUCGAUACUGUCAGACUCGAAAACGGUAGAGGGAGGUGGAACUCCAGGUGUAGCGGUGAAAUGCGUAGAUAUCUGGAAGAACACCGAUGGCGAAGGCAGCCUCCUGGGCCUGUUUUGACACUGAGGCACGAAAGCGUGGGUAGCAAACAGGAUUAGAUACCCUGGUAGCUACGAGU
rnacentral:rRNA from 1 species